GGAAGGAAUGAGCUGGUCAUGUUGAUGUCAUCUUCAAGGCUGAAGAUUGAAACACCGCUGCUGCUAAUUUCACAGUGGCGUGCACCCUGGAUCCAUGACUUGGGAUUGAACUACCCAACGUCACCAUAUGGAAUGCUCUGCAAAGAGGACCUUGUCCAAUUUUCAUUUUAUAUUUAGAAGAUGUGGUCACCGCAGCUGAAAUGGAGCAGUUCCUUCUGGGUUCUUCCUAGAGAACCAAAGUUGUACAUCAGCAACGUAAAUUGAUUUCCUCUUCAAGAAGAAUAAGAGCAAGAUAACUUCCUUUGAAUUGAAGUGAAAUUCUCUGUUAUGAAUGGCUAUGUACACAAGACUUGCAGAAAACUGUUUCUCAGCAUCUCCAUCAGCACAGAAAUUACCACAGGGACGUGUUCUCUAAGCGUCUGUUAGGGUGGCACCUUCCCAUUGUCCAGCAGAGGAGAAAAGAAAGACUGCCUUGUGGUUAUUAUACAUGGUAUAAUGGAAACGUCUUUGCACAUGUAUUUUUGCUCACGAAAUUGCUGGGCCCAGCAGAAAACUAAAUUUUUUUAUGCUUUUCUUAAGUAAUGAUAAAUCAAUAGAUUUAUUCAGCUUAGCUUCUCUGUGCUCACAGCUCAUGGUAAAUCAUGGAGGUGGUAGACAGGGCCACACUUAUUUCCUUUGUGUAGUCUCCUUCCAUCUCCCAGCUUUUCUGCCGGUUCAGGUGACCUCACUCCAUAGGCUAGCUUUGUUAUUCAUGGGUAAACUAGCUUUGCAAGUGCUCUCCACUAGUCUUUGAUUCACCAAUUCCCCACAUCACUGAUUUUGUAUCUGACCUGACUCUACUGGCUGUCUCUUUCAUCACAUUGUAAUUUGUCAAUCAAUUUUAUCGACCAGUGUGUUUUAUUUUAAAAAUUCUUUUAGGCUAUACUGAUGAGAGAAGACAGAAGCUGAUAAUGUUGCAAUCAUCUGAAUUCAUGGAGGAAUUUGGAUUGAUACUGCUGGAUGUGGCAGCUUCUGUGAGCAUCGGGGACAUCUCUUGCAGAUGGUAAAAUCUUCUCAUGCUUUCACAGGCAGAUCUAUUCUAUUGUACAUGGGAAAGAAACCACUGGAGCAUGCAAUUUUGACUAGCAUAGUCACAGAAUUCCCAGAAUAGUAACUAAAGGAAUAAAAGCAGAGGUUAAAAAUGACAUUAAGAGCAGCAAAUAUAAUGCAAUGCUCCUUAUAAACAUGUAGUAGAUACUCGUUAACAGAUUAAGAGACAAAGAAGGUACCAAAAUGUGACUUGGUGCCCACCUUCAGAAAAUGCAGUCACUGACCAGCUGCAGAUACUCAGGAUGCAAGACUUCACCAUCCCCUGCCCCAGGUGAUGGGGAGAACUUGAACGAGGCAAGUGUCACUUAAAAGAGAAAGCUUCUUGGAGCACCUUGGUGGUGCAGUCUGC